rnacentral:rRNA from 1 species
ACGAACGCUGGCGGCAGGCCUAACCCCUGCAAGUCGCGCGCCCCGCAAGGGGAGCGGCGGACGGGUGAGUAACGCGUGGGAACGUACCCUUUGCUACGGAAUAGCCUCGGGAAACUGGGAGUAAUACCGUAUGUGUCCUUCGGGAGAAAGAUUUAUCGGCAAGGGAUCGGCCCGCGUUGGAUUAGGUAGUUGGUGGGGUAAUGGCCUACCAAGCCGACGAUCCAUAGCUGGUUUGAGAGGAUGAUCAGCCACACUGGGACUGAGACACGGCCCAGACUCCUACGGGAGGCAGCAGUGGGGAAUCUUAGACAAUGGGCGCAAGCCUGAUCUAGCCAUGCCGCGUGAGCGAUGAAGGCCUUAGGGUUGUAAAGCUCUUUCAGGGGGGAAGAUAAUGACUGUACCCCCAGAAGAAGCCCCGGCUAACUCCGUG